rnacentral:misc_RNA from 1 species
UCCGAGUUGACCCCGGCAGUCUCCUGCGAGUCCCCGCCAUUACGCGCUGGCAACACAGGACAAGGGUUGCGCUCGUUGCGGGACUUAACCCAACAUCUCACGACACGAGCUGACGACAGCCAUGCACCACCUGUAUACCGGCCACAAGUGGCCGACACAUCUCUGCACCGUUCCGGUUCAUGUCAAGCCUUGGUAAGGUUCUUCGCGUUGCAUCGAAUUAAAGAACAUGCUCCGCUGCUUGUGCGGGCCCCCGUCAAUUCUUUUGAGUUUUAGCCUUGCGGCCGUACUCCCCAGGCGGAGUGCUUAAUGCGUUAGCUGCGGCACAGAGAGGGUUGAAGACCUCCCCACACCUAGCACUCAACGUUUACGGCUGGGACUAC